rnacentral:rRNA from 1 species
GAUGAACGCUGGCGGCGUGCCUAAUACAUGCAAGUCGAGCGAACAGACGAGGAGCUUGCUCCUCUGACGUUAGCGGCGGACGGGUGAGUAACACGUGGAUAACCUACCUAUAAGACUGGGAUAACUUCGGGAAACCGGAGCUAAUACCGGAUAAUAUAUUGAACCGCAUGGUUCAAUAGUGAAAGACGGUUUUGCUGUCACUUAUAGAUGGAUCCGCGCCGCAUUAGCUAGUUGGUAAGGUAAGGGCUUACCAAGGCAACGAUGCGUAGCCGACCUGAGAGGGGGUGGGCCCCCACAGGACCAGAGAGACGCGCCAGACCCCCACGGGGGGCCGAGGAGGGGAGACUACCGCAAUGGGGGAAAGCGUGAGGGGCAACGGCCGCGUGGGAGAUAAGGGUCUCUGGGGUGUAAAACCCUCUUUUGAGGGAAAAACAAAUGUGAAAGUAAUGUGGGCCGUUUUAAGGGAACUUAAUAAGAAACCCCGGCUAAAUAAGGG